rnacentral:misc_RNA from 1 species
AAUAACCACCGAUGUAACGGCUUCCUUUUGUGUAGUGAAACGAAAAAAAGAUAUAGUGAAAAGAGGGAAAUUGC